rnacentral:tRNA from 1 species
CGGGAUGUCGGGGAGCCAGGUCACCCCACCUGCUUCGGGUGCAGGUCAUCGCAGGUUCGAAUCCUGCCGUCCCGA